rnacentral:misc_RNA from 1 species
GCUUGUGCGAUGAAUCCCAAUUGCGGCAUUCAUAUCUUUUUGGCGAUGCGUUGUUGAUGCUCUCCCUUGCCUAUCAGGCAGGAUGUGCGUGCGGUGCAAUAGAUCUCCCCCCAGCCAGGCCUUUUAUGAUUUGGGAGCUGUCCAAUGGUAGGCUCCCUAAUCUUAGGCAAAUGGUUGCGGGGAUCGUGGGGCUAUAAACGUGGCUUGUUCAGCAUAUAGGAUGGUCCCCGGGCCAUUCCUCUAUAGGGGGUUUAAUAAGGAGAUAGGCGCAUCCUUAUCCAAUGCGCGACUUCGGUUCUCUCAUCCCCAGCCGCACGUUGCUGCAGUUGGCGAAGGCUCCGAGUUGCUAUGAGGCCGAGAUACCUGGUUGAUCCUGCCAGUAGUCAUAUGCUUGUCUCAAAGAUUAAGCCAUGCAUGUGUAAG